rnacentral:rRNA from 1 species
UACGGGGGGGCAAGCGUUGUUCGGAAUUACUGGGCGUAAAGGGUUUGUAGGUGGCCAACUAAGUCAGACGUGAAAUCCCUCAGCUUAACUGGGGAACUGCGUCUGAUACUGGUUGGCUUGAGUGCAGGAGAGGAACGCGGAAUUCCAGGUGUAGCGGUGAAAUGCGUAGAUAUCUGGAGGAACACCGGUGGCGAAGGCGGCGUUCUGGACUGCAACUGACACUGAGAAACGAAAGCCAGGGUAGCAAACGGG